CCUCCCCCUCCCCCUCUCUCUAUAUAUAUAUGUAUAUAAUUAUAUUCAAAUUUAAAUGAAACCCAAUUAGAGUAAGUUCUUAAAUAUUGAAUUUCUGCUAGAUUCUUGAAUGUUUACUAUCAUUUACAAGAAUUCUUAAAUGGGUAUUUGUACAUGUGAUGAAAUUGGUUUUUUUUUUUCUACAGAUAUUUUAUAUAAGAAGACUAUAAAGAUUGUUUGAUUUCUUGGGAAUUUUCUUGGAUUGUGAGCAAUGGAUGAGGAGAAGAGAGAGAGUGGUGCAACAGAGAAAGCCAAGAGUACUGCUACUGCUGCUGCUGCUGUGAAUGAAGCUCUGAAGAAAUGUUUGGAGGAAAACAGAGGGGACAGAAGUAAAUGCAAGUCAAAAGUUGAAGCUUUCAAGUCCAUUUCUUCUCAGAAGCCAGUUACUCCUUUAAUGCUCAGGAGUGGGUCAUUGACUGAUGUAUGAAUUUCUGUCUUUUUUUGGGAGUUAUGAAACUGAUUUAUUACAGAUAGUAUUUCUAGUGGAAAAUUUGUUAUUCAUCUAAUACAGCAUUCACUCUCUUCCUCUUAAGUUUUCUUAGUACUUCAAAGAAAAUGGUGAAAUAUUUUCUACAGGGGUAAAAAAUUAAGCUUUGUUAUCUCUAUAAUAUUUA
rnacentral:lncRNA from 1 species